CCUACGGGGGGCUGCAGUAGGGAAUAUUGCGCAAUGGAGGAAACUCUGACGCAGCGACGCCGCGUGAGCGAUGAAGGUUUUCGGAUCGUAAAGCUCUGUCCUUGGGGAAGAAGGUCUUCGGACUUGACGGUACCCAAGAAGAAAGCCCCGGCUAACUACGUGCCAGCAGCCGCGGUAAUACGUAGGGGGCAAGCGUUGUCCGGAAUUAUUGGGCGUAAAGGGUGCGUAGGCGGCCUUUUAAGUCAGAUGUGAAAGCCCGCGGCUUAACUGCGGGAUUGCAUUUGAAACUGGGAGGCUUGAGUAUCGGAGAGGGUAGUGGAAUUCCCAGUGUAGCGGUGAAAUGCGUAGAUAUUGGGAGGAACACCAGUGGCGAAGGCGACUGCCUGGACGAAAACUGACGCUGAGGCACGAAAGCUAGGGGAGCAAACAGGAUUAGAUACCCCUGUAGUC
rnacentral:rRNA from 1 species